CGGUACUAAAUUUCGUAUAAUUUAAAUGUUGGCUGAACAAGUAGAGUUGGAAUUUAAAAAUUUGCAAAAAUAAGGUAUUUUUUGGACCGUACGAUGAAGGUAGUCAUGAAAAUUUGAACAUAAGUAUAGGUUCAUACACCUCAUCCAAUUAAAGUUGUUAGAAAUCAUGAUGGAAUCUACGCCCAAUUUAUUUGGAAUUCGUACCAAAAACAUAUGAAAAAGACAAAAAUGUACUAAAUAGUGUACCAUUCGUAUAAAGUUAAAUGUUUGGUUUCCCGUACUAAUAUGAUAAGGAAAAUAAGAAUAAUAUAAAAAAUAAAACAGCUUUGCUGUAUUUUGAAUGCAUAAGCUUUUCCUAAUCAACCGUGCUAAUUUAUUGUGCUUAGGUUAUGUAUAAAUAGGAAUUCUACUGUAUUGAAUAUUAAUUAUUCAGUUUGAGCGCAUCUGUUACGGCAUUAGUAUGAAAAUCAGCAUUUUAUAUUUUAUUUUAUUGGCAAUAAUAAGUAUAAAAUGUCUGCGAGGACAAGACAUGGAAGAUUCAACAAACAAUUCAACACAGAUGGUAGGCUUUUUAUUCUAUACUCCAGAAAGAUAUUCUCCGUGUGGAUACAGACACAAUGGCCAGCCGAUACCAUGUAGAUAUUGAUGAUUACUUUUUAAUAACUUCCUUUCACGGUGAUCCGUAUUAUUUCUAUAAUGUGGUGAUAUUUAAGAAAAAGAUGAUUUGGGUUUAACAAAAACAAAAAUAAUAAAUAAAUAUAAAUAUAUAAACGCCAUA